AGUUAAGGCUGCUGCUUUUUGUCCAUGAAGCUCUAAAUCUAGUCUUUCCCUCCAGCAGUCUCUUUCUCUCUUCUGCAUUAUCACCACAUUAGCAAAAGCCAGUGAUGCUUGAAUUGUAACCUUAAUAUGAAAGAGAGUAAAUUCCCGAAACUUUGUACUGAAUAGUCUGUUAUCAGUUAAAUAUCAAGGCAUGUGGAGGAGCACAUCUGUUUUUCUGGACAUCUGGGAGGUAGCGGGUGAGAAAAUAUGGAAUGGAUGGAGAGAUCUCAUCUGGCUUCAAUUUACUGUGCGUAAUAACAAGAUCUUUAUAGCACUUCUGUAUGGGCUAUCUAGCUCAUAGAGGUAAUACCAGUACUUUCAGACAUGGUUGUAAUGAUCUGCAAAAAAAAAAAAAAAAAGAAAAGAAAAAGAAAACUAGAGAAAUUGGAUCACAAGACAUGCUACAAACCAGCAGCAGGAAAGGAGUACCUUUCACAGGCUGAUGACUGAGUGGGCAAAUUCAUGUGAAUUCUGCAGAAUUCCUGCAGCCAAGCCAGCCCACCACACUGCCAUCUCAAGUAUCUCUGCGUAAGGACAGGAUAUCAGUCCAAUGACUUAAGCUGGAUUUAGAUCAAUUCCACCUCCUUACUACAAACCCAUGAAACCACUACAAAAGGCUUUAAGACUUGUUGCUGGAUAUCCCGUUUCAACGUUGUGCAGAAGGGCAAUUAUUUGGCGAAACAAUUGCCAAGUUAGUAUUACAUCUGUAAAACGUUUCUCCUUAGCUUUGGUAUACUUUCUUCUUUAUCUUUCAGUGUUUUUAUAAUCAUGGUGAUGCAAAAAUAUUCACUGGAACUGCUACUGGUGUUACUGUCAGUAGUCACUUAUGAGCACAUUAGUACCUUUUUCUACUGAAUAUUAUUACUUCUGAAAUCAGGCUUUAUUUAUGCUGGAUAAAAUCAAACAUGCCAUGAAGCACAGGUGAUAAAUGCGCUUGAAUUCCAGUUAUGCUUUAUUUUUCAUAUUGAGUGCCAGCAGUCAAGUUGGAUGAUGGAGAACCAAUGUCAGUGCAGACACUGGCACAGUUGAUUCACAAAUAAAUGCUUUAGGAUCCACGUGGUAGUGGUGAGCGCUGAGCUGGGGGUGAGGUGGGAGGACAUGACUGUGUGUGUUCAUGGGGUUGGAAGGGCCAUCGUGUUUCACAGAUUCCAAACAACAAAUUCUGACAAGUGAAAAAUGUUUGAUUUUUAAAAGUCACACAGCUAGCCCUUUUUUUAAACACUUUCCGUAUUUAUUUAACCUAGUAAAUAGGUUUAUUAGCAAGGUUCCAUUCUUUGUAGUUUAGGUAAUGGAUUUACCAUAUGUUUAUGCUUUAAGGACUUGUGUAAGACUGCUAACACCUAUUUCUCCACCUCCUGUCUCAGAGGUUAAGACCUUGGUAUGUUGCCAGUUUACUGCUGUGGUCCUUUCCCCUUGUAUAAUUACAGUCAUUCCCAGAGUGAAGGAAAUUCCCUGAGCUUUUACUCUAACUAGCCACAGUGUUUCACUACAAAAAGGCACUUCUUUAAAAAGAAGAAAAGUAAUAAAACUUUCACAUUAUUAACUUUUUCCCUUUUAAAAGAGGCUGGAAAAUGCCAUUGUACCACAUUAAAGGCCUUUAUAUAAGACUCACCAUUGGGUAAUGAGCCUUGUUGUACAAUCUACCACAUGCAACUGCCUUCAAGUGCUGCUUUUAACUUAACCUUGAUGUAGUGCCAGGAAUGUGCAAAGGAUAUACUUUGAUGGUGGAGGCAGUCUACUUCUCUCUCUCUCUCUCUUUUUCCCUUUUUUUUUUUUCCUUUUUCUCCUUUUCCGAAUCAGUACACCACAAAAUAUACGCAAGAUUUAAAUUUUAUUGUUUAGCUGAGCAAUUGAAAUACAUUCCAUAAAAGAGGAAUAAGGAAUUAUCUGUUCUAUGGAAAUAAGCCAGUAGGUCAGUUAUUUAUAAUAGAAAUGAUAAUAAGUUGUUACUUUGUACUUAUGCAGUGACUUUCUUCCUGCAGACAAACAGAAUUUCAUAGGCAUCCUCACAACUCCCCUGUGAAGCAAGUAUCAUAAUCGCUGUUUUAUGAUUAAUAAAACUAGUUCAAUUACUUUCCUGAAGAUUACACAAAAUAUCCGUAUCAGAAAAAGGAUCUGAAGAAUUUUCACUUUCAGUUACCUCUUUGAUUAUGAGCCAUUUCCUCCCAUCACUAGAGUGAAUUAUUUUGGUAACAGUGCUACUGGAAUUUGUUUAAAUUCCAUGUUAUGGCCAGAUGUGUUCUACUAGAAACAUGUAUUCAAUUUAUAUAAUAAUAUGCAUGGGAUAUGUAAUAAAAUAUGAUUUUAGAAACACUUGACAUUAGUCUUUUCUUAAAUAAAAUAAAUAUG
rnacentral:lncRNA from 1 species